rnacentral:lncRNA from 1 species
GUUUAAUAUACAAUUAUGGCCCGUUGAAGAGGUGAAUAUCCAAAAUUGUCAACACGAGAAGGUUAUUUCAUUGAGGGCGCAGCCCGAAGUGAAAUAACUUUUAAGGGUUGACAAUUUUGGAUAUUCAUCGACUCUAAGGGGCCACAAUUGUUUUAUUAUACCGAACUAACAUUGGAAAGGCCUUUCGAACACUUCUUUGGACUUUACACAACAGUCAACACAAACACACAAGCUGAAACGGCUUUGUGUUCUAGAAUUUCUCGAAUGUACAACAAAGGUAGAAUCUUUUUGUAAAAUAUUGAUGGCCCUGAAAAGGACCGUUUAUAAGAGACACGGCUGCUGGCACUCUUUUCAUGACCACUGCCUUAUUUCCAUUUCUCUCGGUGGGCUUCCAGUGUAACGUGAACGCUGCCAUUUUGUUUAUUUACGUCUGUGACGUCAUUUUCAUGGGAGGUAACUCAAGUACAAAUCAACAAACUGAAAAGGUUAUUCACCGGUGAAUAAUAGGGUUAUUCACCGCUGGUGCAAAUUUUUAGGGUUAUUCGUCCUUCCUUGCAAUUGAAUGAAAAACAACUGAAUUAUUCCAUGUCACGUGAUAACGUUUCACCCAAUAGAAUUGUUUAAAAUAUAUGUAAGGUAUAAUAAUAUCUGUUAUUUUAU